UUAGGCCUAAAAAAAAAAUGUUGUGUUUCCGGUCACCCGACCGACCGUCCUUCAGAUCCCCCGACUCAAAAGUUUUUAAAGCUGAUGUGGGAAAAAAAAUAAUUUGUAUACCUACCGACCGUUUUUUCUGAAAGAAAAUAAAAAAUUCUAAGUCCCUCUAUCUUUUUAUCACCCCAAAAGAAAACAAUGCUAAUUUUAAACUCGAGGCUUAUUUUUAGAAUGUACUGGAAAGUGGAAUCUUCUUGGCUAAUUAUAUAUGCGGGAUCAUGCGCAGUAGUUAUUUUCGUUUGUCAGUGUUUGAACAUGGCAACACAAUGAGUCCUAUUCAAUGUUCAACGCGGAAAGUGUGACCAUUUCGCGGAGAAAAAAAUAUUUCUAAAUUUUACAGAAAGUAACACCUUUUUUGACAUUAGCAAUGUAAUUCAUCCAAUGUCUAACAUCGAUGAAAAAAAAAUACACAACACAAAUUUUGUGCUCGGCCACCGGCAAAAAUGACUGGACCGAGAUUGAUGACAAUAACACAACUGUUGGAACAAUGCAAUCUUUUGGAAUUAAAUUUAUCAAAUUUUCAUGCCAGACCCUUCUUCAAAAUGAACCUGAUAUUAAUUCAUCUGAAACUGGUCAGCCAAUCAACGCUUUAGACAUUCUGAUGAAAAGCCACAGAUGCUUUGCCAAAAGAAAGUGUCCUGCCAGGUAACAGUGUAUAUAAUAUAUUUGUCUAUCUGUAGGUUUGGGAUGAUGUUUGGUUCAUGUUCCUAUAAAUGAAUCUGCCCCACAUCUUCUCAAUUUCUUUCUCUGACAAUCCCAAACUUUUGGUCCUGAAAUAGGGGAAUUGGGUUUAAAAAGCUAAUUUCCAUGGGGAAGUGCUGCCCAAAUUUUUUUUCAGGGGUAUUUUAAAAGGGGGUAAACUAAAAGUUAUUUCAGGGGGAUUUUAAAAGGGGUAAACUAAAAGUUAUCUCAGGGAGAUUUUUAAAGUGGGUAAUCAAUCUCUUUCUAUUAAAUCCCAAACUUUAGUCUGGUAACUGGAAAUUGAGUUUUAUAUAUUAAUAUUAUUAAAAAAAAAAAAAAAAAAAAAAAAAAAUCCCUACCUACCGUCCCUUCAAAAUUUCAAGGGGGUGAUCGGAAACACAUUAUUUUUUUUAGGC
rnacentral:lncRNA from 1 species